rnacentral:rRNA from 1 species
AGCAGCCGCGGUAAUUCCAGCUCCAAUAGCGUAUAUUAAAGUUGUUGCAGUUAAAAGCUCGUAGUUGAAUUUCGGGAUCAAUUAAUUGGUCGUGCCUAUGGUACGUACUGAUUUUAUUGGCUUCUCCCUUCUGACGAACCAUGAUGUCAUUAAUUUGGUGUCGUGGAGAAUCAGGACUGUUACUUUGAAAAAUUGAGUGUUUAAAGCAGGCUAACGCUUGAAUACAUUAGCAUGGAAUAAUGAAAUAGGACGUUUGAUCCUAUUUUGUUGGUUUCUAGGAUCGACGUAAUGAUUAAUAGGGAUAGUUGGGGGCAUUAGUAUUCAAUUGUCAGAGGUGAAAUU